CCUAAACCUCAGAUUCCUCCACGUUGGCUAUUCAUUUGGAUUGUAUGAGGAGUAAAUGAGAUGAUGACCACCAGGUGCUCAGCUUGGCACACAGUCAGUGUGUGCUUGGUAUUAGCGGAUGCUAUUUAGAUGCCACCAACCAAAGAUCCCCAAAGGGACACUCUAAGGAAGCUGGAAAAGGUGGCAAGUUACACAGCACUAGUUCCCACAAGGCUAGUUGGCUAGAUGACACUUUGUUGUUCAAGCCUUCAGGAGUCUGUAGGAUGCACUUAGCAAUCAACACCCCCUCGUUAGCAAGGUAAAAUUACUGAAUACAAAUCACCAAAAAAAAAAUUCUGUAGCUAUUUUCAGAUGAGGCCUUGUAACUAAUAAUGACGUUCAUGAACUCAAUAAAGCUGCAACAGUGGGUUUUUGUUGUUGUUGUUGUUGUUGUUGUUGUUGUUUGAGACGGAGUCUCGCUCUGUUGCCUAGGCUGGAGUGCAGUAGCGUGAUCUCGGCUCACUGCAAGCUCCGCCUCCCGGGUUCCUGCCAUUCUCCUGCCUCGGCCUCCUGAGUAGGUGGGACUACAGGCUCCGCCACCACGCCCGGCUAAUUUUUUUGUAUUUUUAGUAGAGACGGGGUUUCAGUCGCCCGCCUUGUUGAAUCUGGACAACAUCAGCCGCUUAGUAGACACUCAAAUGAUUCAAAAAGCCUCAGGAGCCUGGGUUACUUUAGCAGAAGGGUUCAAUCAAACUGCAGAAUCACCUGGGGGCAUGUUCAAGUCCAGAAUCCUAGAAACCUUGGAUGCGGCUCUGAGAAUCAGGCUUCUGGAGUAUUGCCUCCCUGCAGCCCCCUCCCCACCAUGCCCUCUGAGACACCCCCUGGGUGAGCCUACAACCCUGACUGCUAUCUCCCCGGCAGGGGCGGCUUCUGCUCGUGCUGCCAUCCAAGGGAAGGGGCUACAGGCACCAAUGUCAGGCAGAGGCCUGAGCAGAAAUACAGAGAGCUUGCAGACAGGAUGGGGGAACUACACCACACUGAGAGCUGACCACAACCUGGAACCUCAACCACACUCCCCAGUUACCUUGGAGGUGGGGAGUCUCCAUG
rnacentral:lncRNA from 1 species